GGCUGAGUAAAUGCCUGGGUAAAUCGUGUCGCUCAACGAUACGAAUUCCGGGUAGACUGCUUAGCUUGAGACUGGAGAAGCUAGAGGUACUCCUGGGGUAGAGGUGAAAUUCUGUAAUCCUGGGGGGACCACCAGAUGGCGAAAGCGUCUAGCUAGAACGGGUCUGACGGUGAGAGACGAAACCCUGGGGCGCGAACCGGAUUAGAUACCCGGGUAGUCCAGGGCGCAAACGCUGCUUGCUUGAUGUUAGCUGGGCUCCGAGCUCGGCUAGUGUCGGAGAGAAGUUGUUAAGCAAGCUGCCUGGGAAGUACGAUCCGCAAGAUUGAAACUUAAAGGAAUUGGCGGGGGAGCACAGCAACGGGAGGAGCGUGCGGUAUAAUUGGAUUCAACGCCGGCAAACUCACCGGAGGCGACGGUUACAUGAAGGCCAGGCUGAUGACCUUGCCUGAUUUUCCGAGAGGUGGUGCAUGGCCGCCGUCAGUUCGUACCGUAAGGCGUUCUGUUAAGUCAGAUAACGAACGAGACCCUCAUCCUUAAUUGCUACUGAUAACUCUGGUUGUCAGGCACAUUAAGGAGACCGCUGACGAUAAGUCAGAGGAAGGCGAGGGCAACGGUAGGUCAGUAUGCCCUGAAUCCUCCGGGCUACACGCGCGCUACAAAGGCCAGGACAAUGGGUUUCGACACCGAAAGGUGAAGGUAAUCCCGAAACCUGGUCAUAGUUCGGAUUGAGGGCUGAAACUCGCCCUCAUGAAGCUGGA
rnacentral:rRNA from 1 species